UUAAGCAAUACUUAUGUCUCUCACUGUUGAAGAACAGUGCUUCAAGUCUUAUGAUUGUUUUCCAGCUUUCUUGCUCCAUUUUCAUUAGUCUUGUGUCAAGGUUUAGAUCUGGAUUGAAAGCAGAGAUUGGAGUAUUUUUUCCUAUGAUUGUUCUUAGGGUCUUGGAAAAUGUUGCUCAACCUAAUUUUCAACAGAAGAUGACAGUGCUUCGGUUUUUGGAUAAGCUAUGUGUUGAUUCACAAAUACUGGUGGACAUCUUCAUUAACUAUGAUUGUGAUGUUAAUUCAUCAAAUAUAUUUGAGAGAAUGGUCAAUGGACUUCUUAAAACUGCUCAAGGUGUCCCCCCUGGUACAACCACUACACUUUUGCCACCACAGGAGGUGACCAUGAAACUUGAAGCUAUGAAGUGCUUAGUUGCCAUUUUGAAAUCGAUGGGAGACUGGAUGAACAAACAAUUACAGAUUCCAGAUUUGCAUUCUACCAAGAAAUUUGAUGCAGCUGAGAACACUACUGAACCUGGUAAUCUUCCUGUGGCAAAUGGAAAUGGAGAUGAGCCAGUUGAAGGAUCAGA
rnacentral:misc_RNA from 1 species